rnacentral:lncRNA from 1 species
CGCUCUAAGCUGCAAACACCCUAAGAAGAAAAAUGAAAAUGAGGGGGGAGAGAUUUUAAAAUAUGAUUUUUGGUCUAUAUAACCCCAACAAUGCCCUCCUAAAAUGGGCUUCUCCUAAAUGUUGAACAAAAAUGGGUCCAAAGUCAUAAAGUUUGACCUAAUUACAUUAUAAACGAAUUUAAAAUAAAAUUAAACUAUAAUG